AUCUAUUCAUGUUUGCAACAACAUAUCAUGAUGGGUGGAGAAUACUAAUACCAAAGGACUGAGUCUCUUUAAAUUUGACCAACUGACUUAGCAGGCAGCUGGUGCCUUGGUUCCUUUCUAUCCCUCAUGCUUAAGAUAACUUGACAAGACACUGAGGGAUAUUUUGAACCUUUCAGGCCUAAAAGCUGUGAUUUGGAUGGAAUUAAUAAAAUGGCAAGAGCUAUCUCCAACUUUGCCACCUGAGAAACACAAGUCCAAGUCCAAUACUUACAGAAGAAAUAACUAUUCCACCUAGUCAAGGAACUAGCCAACACUUAAUGGAGGAUUGCCCUUGGUUAUAGAGCUAACUGCAAAUGAAGUAACUAGAGGAAGACCAUUUACCUUCUCCAUUGAAGAGACCAUUCAAGAGCCAACUCAGCAAUCAGGGUCUAGCAGUGUUACUGACUGGAUGACUGGCACUUAGAGUCCAGCACCCUGCUGAGAAACCAGCAACCCAUGUGAGGAUUCCAUGGCCAACUGAGAUCACAAGACUCUUGAACAGAAGAAAUGCCAAGAGAGCUAGAAUCUUACAGAUGGUGGUAUUAAUAAUGGAGCAAACUAGAACCAAUGACAAAGACAUGAAGUCUGAAAAUAGCACAGAGAAUAUAAAUAUUGUGAGAUGAAUGUUCCCCCUUCAAUUCUCCUUAUUUGCCAAAUAUUUUCAUUUCCUUUUGUCAUUAUAGAAAAUAAAACCAUGCAUCACAGUCAAAAGUGCUCCACUAGCAACAUUGUAUGAUUCACUCUUUUUGUCAUACAUGUCUUUAG
rnacentral:lncRNA from 1 species